rnacentral:rRNA from 1 species
UGGGGAGUACGGCCGCAAGGAUUAAAACCCAAAAUGANUUGACGGGGGCCAUGCACAAGCGGUGGAGCAAUGUGNUUUAAAUUACGAAAGCAACNCGCAAGAACCUUAACCAGCGUUUGACAUGUCCGGACGAUUUCCAGAGAUGGAUCUCUUCCCUUCGGGGACUGGAACACAGGUGCUGCAUGGCUGUCGUCAGCUCGUGUCGUGAGAUGUUGGGUUAAGUCCCGCAACGAGCGCAACCCUCGCCUUUAAGUUACCAUCAUUCAAGUUGGGUACUCUAAAGGAACCGCCGGUGAUAAGCCGGAGGAAGGUGGGGAUGACCGUCAAGUCCUCAUGGCCCUUACGCNCUGGGCUACACACGUGCUAACAAUGGCGACUACAGUGGGCAGCAAUCCCCGCGAGGGUGAGCUAAAUCUCCAAAAAGUCGUCUCAAGUUCGGAUUGCACUCUGCNNCCUUCGAGUGCAUGAAGGCGGAAUNGCUAGUAAUUCGCGGAUCAGCAAUGCCNCGGGUGAAAUACGUUCCCCAGGGCCCUNGGUACCACACCCCGCCCCGGUCACACCCAUGGGAAGUUUGGGGGUNCACCCCGAAAAGGGCCGUUGCGC